rnacentral:tRNA from 1 species
ACAUUGGUGGUUCAGUGGUAGAAUUCUUACCUUCCAUGUAGGAGACCCGGGUUCAAUUCCCGGCCAGUGCG